GAUGAACGCUAGCGGCAGGCUUAAUACAUGCAAGUCGAGGGGCAGCACGGUUAGCAAUAACUGGUGGCGACCGGCGCACGGGUGCGUAACACGUAUACAAUCUACCUUAAACAGGGGGAUAGCCUUUCGAAAGAGAGAUUAAUACCCCGUAAUAAAUUGAACGGCAUCGUUUGAUUUUGAAAGCUCCGGCGGUUUGAGAUGAGUAUGCGUCUGAUUAGCUAGUUGGUGAGGUAACGGCUCACCAAGGCGACGAUCAGUAGGGGAUCUGAGAGGACUAACCCCCACACUGGUACUGAGACACGGACCAGACUCCUACGGGAGGCAGCAGUAGGGAAUAUUGGUCAAUGGAGGCAACUCUGAACCAGCCAUGCCGCGUGCAGGAUGACGGCCCUAUGGGUUGUAAACUGCUUUUGAUAGGGAACAAAUGCCACUUGCGAGUGGAGCUGAGUGUACCUAUAGAAUAAGCACCGGCUAACUCCGUGCCAGCAGCCGCGAUAA
rnacentral:rRNA from 1 species